UACGUAGGGUGCGAGCGUUGUCCGGAAUUAUUGGGCGUAAAGGGGCUCGUAGGCGGUUUGUCGCGUCGGGAGUGAAAACUCAGGGCUUAACCCUGAGCCUGCUUCCGAUACGGGCAGACUAGAGGUAUGCAGGGGAGAACGGAAUUCCUGGUGUAGCGGUGAAAUGCGCAGAUAUCAGGAGGAACACCCGUGGCGAAGGCGGCUCUCUGGAACGCAACUGACGCUGAGACGCGAAAGCGUGGGGAGCAAACAGG
rnacentral:rRNA from 1 species